rnacentral:tRNA from 1 species
CCUUUCGUAGCUUAGUGGUCAGAGCACUGGUGAAUAAAGCCGGAGGUUCCGAGUUCGACUCCCGGCGAGGGUG